rnacentral:misc_RNA from 1 species
GAUGAAGAACGCAGCGAAAUGCGAUACUUGGUGUGAAUUGCAGAAUCCCGUGAACCAUCGAGUCUUUGAACGCAAGUUGCGCCCGAAGCCAUUAGGCCGAGGGCACGCCUGCCUGGGUGUCACACGUCGUUGCCCCCCCAUCUACUCCUUCGGGAUUGCGGGGGGCGGAUGAUGGCCUCCCGUGCGCCUCGUCGCGCGGUUGGCAUAAAUGCCAAGUCCUCGGCGACGCACGCCACGACAAUCGGUGGUUGCGAAACCUCGGUUGCCCGUCGUGUGCGGUCGUCGCGCAUCGAGGGCUCGAAAAAAUUGCCGGGCUCCGGCUCGGCUUUCAACGCGACCCCAGGUCAGGCGGGAUUACCCGCUGAAUUUAAGCAUAUCAAUAAGCGGAGGA